GAAAUGGUGUCUUUAGACACCACCCUUCAUCUUCAAAAAAAAUUGU
rfam:Picea glauca, whole genome shotgun sequence.